GACAGAGGGUGCAAACGUUGUUCGGAAUUACUGGGCGUAAAGCGUGAUGUAGGCGGUCGUCAUAAGUCGGAUGUGAAAGCCCCGGGCUCAACCCGGGAAGUGCAUUCGAAACUGCGAGGCUAGAGUAUCGGAGAGGUUGGUGGAAUUCUCGGUGUAGAGGUGAAAUUCGUAGAUAUCGAGAGGAACACCGGUGGCGAAGGCGGCCAACUGGACGAAUACUGACGCUGAGACACGAAAGCGUGGGGAGCAAACAGG
rnacentral:rRNA from 1 species